AAAAAAAAAAAAAAAACUAGUACAUCUGACUUCCAAUCAGCUAGCUCCGGUACACCCCGGAAAGGAAUA
rnacentral:tRNA from 1 species